ensembl:antisense Vax2os ventral anterior homeobox 2, opposite strand
GGACAGCCCCGUGGUACAGAAGACCGCCCCACACCCUCUCAUAAACUUUAUUACUCCCUACCCAUUGGUCCCUCUCGCCCUCUUCCCUCUGUUCCCUAUAUCUCCAGGGAAAUGCACCUAGCUUUCAGUCUGGCUCCGCUUGAUGGAUAACUCAGAGCUCGAGGAGGCGACCCUGACUCGACCCGGCAGAAAAGAGGAGACGGAAAACUCCCUCCCUAGAAUCUGGAAUGAACUCCUUGUGUCUGCGGUUCUUCCAGCCUCUCUGGCUUUGGCAGGACACUAGAUUCUGGCUUACCCUUCCCCGGCUCUCGGCUCUCGUCCCUGGCCAGCCACUGUGACCACUGCUUUGCCAGACCACCAGUGUGUCAGAUUCGUUUCCGUUCCGGAAGAUUGGUAUUUGUAUGGUUAUUGUUUUGAAAAAAAGAAAACGAAUUAAAUUAAGGGGAACCAAGGAGAGGGAUAUUUGUAGCUGAGGCCAUUGCUUCCGUGUGGAGCCCUGGUUGUGCCCUUCAGAGCCUCGGGCCGAGAGGGAGUGUGGGGGCUGUGGGGCCCCCGGGAAUUAGCGCGUGGAGUGAACGUCGGGGCAAGAGUUGGGGUGGAUUAGCGGGUUCAAAAGCAGGUCAGGGGGAGCUAAGCGUGGCGACCAAGUCCGUGCUAGGUCAAGGUCCCUGGCAAAGGCUGGCUCGAGCGAUCUGCAGGAAGCCGUACCAGUCUGCAGCUGCCCAGCCAGGGACCAGAGAAAUGCAACAGGAACCCAUGCUUGUCUGCAAUAAUUUACAGGACCCCGUUCGAGCUCCCUGGUUGAGGUGUGCUCACCUGAAAGACAGGGUUUCUCUUUUACAUUUUAACCUUUUCUUUCUUUUCUUCUUUAUGUUUGAGACAGGACCUCACUCCGUAGCCCAGGUUGGCCUCCAGCUCAGGGCCAUCCUCCUGUGGAACCCCUGAGAUCACAGGCGUGUCUCACCAAGUCCCACCUCUUUGUUUUUAUACUCCCUCCUUUCUGACCAGAUAAAUACAUCGACCCACGCAGGUAGAAUUUUCUUCUCAAGAGUCUCUUUCUCCUACUGACAUCGGGGGCCAUGUGAGUCAAAUGGGGGUUGGGGAUUUCUGAGACACAAUAAAAGAAUCGCAUCCUCCUCUUCCCGCGCGAGUACCUGCGAUAGGGAGGGAGAGCUGGGAGUAGCUGAGUCGCUCUUUCCUUUGCGAAAGGGAGAGAGGUGACUCUGAGCCCCGAACGUUUGUAGGGCCCUGGAUAGUCUUCCCUUUUCUCCAAAAGACUCGUGAGUUUUCACAGGGAACAAACUUGGAGACGCGGUGGAUUUCGAAAUCCCGGUCUUGUUGGUGGCCUAAGAACAAUUUACAAAGCAGCCGGGGUGGGGAUGAAUCCUCGAGGUCUACCGAGGGUGGUGGCCCCUCCCGAGUCGCUUGGGACCUGGCAUCGGGCUUCUUUUCCUCCCGCGCUGUGCAGGCCCAGGGAGUGGGGUACGCGGAUGGACUUGGUUUUGUUGAAAUCCGGUGAAUCUGGACUCGGGUCGGGCUGGCUUCACGGAGUAAGCCCGUCCGAUCCCUGCAGGGGAGAAGUUUCCUACUUCCAGCUCUGGGGAAAGUGCGGAAGGUGGCAAGGAGCUGUGGAAAGCGGAGGUGGCUUGGGAGAGGCCUGGGCUGUGGAGUCCCCGGGCGGCUCCCGCGACUUCUCUGUACUGCUUCCGCGCUGCAUGCUGGCGUGCAGGGUGUAGAGCGGCAGACCCGGAUGGACCGGCUGGUGCGGUGCUCGGGUCCGAGUGGAGUAGGUAGAAGCUUGGCUUCGAGACACAAUGCAAAUAAGCUGCUCGGUUCCCAGUCCCACGGAGCCUGACAUCUUUCCACUGGAAAAACGCCCGGAGCUGAAGGCACUGUCUCUCCUUCUUUAGGCGGGCGUUCUCGCUUCGCGGCUUGCAACCGGCCUCACAGUUCAGGCUGCAGCGGCAGAAAUAAUGGGACUGACUGCAAGAAACUAUCCCAACGCUUUCCCGCUCUUCUGGAGCUGCCUCCACCCCAUCCCCGCCGCCGCAUCCUUCUUUUUGAAUAAAUUUACCGAGAAAGUACAGUUUUGUAUGUAGCCUUUUCUGUUUUCUUUUUCUUUCUUCNNNNNNNNNNNNNNNNNNGUGUGUGUGUGUGUGUGUGUGGUGGGCGACAUAAGAGGGCGUCGGAUCCCCUAUAGCUGAAACCAGAGUAGAUCUCUUAACCUCUGAGCCAUCCUCUAGUGCCCUUAACUAGAAUUUUUAAAUGUACAUCUGUUUAUUAUGUGUGUACAUUUAUGCGCAUCCGCAAGCCAGGAGUCAGAGGACAGCUUUUGGGAAUGGGCUCUGUUCAACCCAGUAGGUUCUGGGAAUGGAUCAAAUCAUUAGCUUGAUGCUAGGCGUCUUUACCCGCGGAGUCAUUUCUCUGUCCCUUCUUUAUUUUUUCAAUUGACCUUGCAGUUGAAAUAGCUCACAACUAAAGCCAUCCUGUCUGCAGCCUUCUCCACCCAGAGCAGAGCCUUUGGAUAUUUAUUUUACAGGCUCAACAGCACAGAGAUAUCUCCACUGUGGAGAAACUAUCACCGACCUACUUUCUAAAGGGGAUGGUGAGGCAUUUACUUCGGAAUUUGUUCGGCAAGAGUCGGGAUCUCAGAUACCAACACUGCGUCGUCAUUCUAAGACUUCUUCUGAACUGAACCUGUGCCGGGGCGUCCCUGAACAGAGCACAGGUGGAGAGCCUUCUAGGGAGAAGGAAGAGAGGUCGACCAAAGCUUGUGGUGAGCUCCCUCCCCCAUCUCCGAGGAACGCUGUUGCUCAGAUAAAGCUCAGAGAGGUGUUUGAAAAGGAGAAACCCCAGAGCCAGAGCCAGCCGACCUAGGGAUCUCUUGGCUUUGGGAUUGCAAAGGGACACUUUCUAGUAGUGGGUUCAUUUCAGAGAGUGGGUGGAAAAGCCACGGAAGGCCACGCCCUGGCUAUCCUGGUUAAGGGACUAGGAAAUAGAUCUCAUCCUGUGUUUGUAGGACUUGAGAAGGUUAGAGUAUCAUUAGAUUAAGUAAUUGCUGUGGUUUGGGUCUUGUGUGUGUGUGUGUGUGUAUAUAUAUGUUCAGGCUGGUCUGGAACCCUUGAUCCUCUAGCCUCUACCAUCCAAUGCUGGGGUGACAGGUGUGCACCCCUCUACAGGGCACAGUGUAAAACAAUGUACUAAGUUUGAAUUUUGUCAUAAUAAGAAUAUCUAUGUGUUUUAAGACUAACUUUAAAAAAUAACUAAAAUUAAAUUUAAAUUUUUAAGAUUGGCUUAAAAAAAUCAGGACUCAGCAGAACCUCCUAGUAUUACUAAAGAGAAGUGUGUAGGAGUCUCUCUCAUAAACACAUCUCAGGAGAUGGAGAUGUAUGACUCCAGUAACAAUAAUCUAUUCCGUUUUUUUUACAACAAGGCUUCCUACUGCCCCAGAGAGCUGGGGGCAUCUUAGCUCUCCCGGGCUAGGUGGAACCAUCUGUCCUUUGGCUUUUGGCAGCAGGAGAAUCAGAAGGUCAAGGGCACCAUUGGCCAUAGUUUGAAUUCGAGGCCACUCUGGGUUAUA